UACAGAGGGCGCGAGCGUUGUCCGGAAUCACUGGGCGUAAAGGGCGCGUAGGUGGCGGCAUAAGGCCGCGGUGAAAGUCGUGGGCUCAACCCCAGAUCGGCCGCGGCGACUGUGUCGCGUCGAGCACGGUAGAGGCAGAUGGAAUUCCGGGUGUAGCGGUGGAAUGCGUAGAGAUCCGGAAGAACACCAGUGGCGAAGGCGGUCUGCUGGGCCGUGGGACCGACAAGGUCCUUAGUAGCUGACACUGAGGCCGCGACAGCGUGGGGAGCAACAGG
rnacentral:rRNA from 1 species